GGUGAGGUGUCCGAGUGGCUGAAGGAGCACGCCUGGAAAGUGUGUAUACGGCAACGUAUCGGGGGUUCGAAUCCUCCCCCCCUCACCGCCA
rnacentral:tRNA from 1 species